UACCCAGAGUAAAAAUGCCAGGACCGAGGUAUUCAUUUUCAAAUCAAAAUGUUAAGCAGAGUGCGGUAGAUACGUCGAUAAUUUGCGAAUUCAACCCGUGGAUCUCCCCAUCAGCACGGGUUCGCCGUUCCUGAUCUAUAGCUGACUUCGCGCUUCAUUUGUCAUAUUUUUAAGUUAUCUUUGUUCUAUAUUUGUUUUUUCUCUCCAAUUUGCUUGUUUUUUUCUGCCUUUCUUUCUUUCACUCUGUGGGAAAUGCAUCCCAUUCCUGCUCAUAUUGCCAACUUACCAACUGAAUAAUGUCUACAAAACAUAUGUUCAAACUGUUGGCUUACAUUCAUGUCUCUGUUUUUACAUGUUUUAUUAAUUUUUCCCCAUCAAAAUCUGAAAUUUUUUCUGUCAAAACAAAAGCAUUGUUUCUUUGGUCUUGAAUACAUACAUAUUGCUCCGAGAGUACAGUACAGAGCGAAAAUUGAAAUUUGUAAAUCGUAUUUACGCAUUGGUUUUGAAAAUCUGUGCUCUGUUCCAAUUAAUUUUCCGAUUAUCCCCAUUUCUUUUUUUAACACAUUAAAUCUUUAAAGUUAACCAUUUCUUGGGAGAUCCAAGUUUAGUAAUUUUCGGUGAUUGUAAAGAACUGCACAUAAAUUUGUAAAUAUUGUUAUCUUAGAGUUAAGUCAAUGUUGCCAAACGAAGAAUCUCAAAUUAUUUUUUUACCUUUGAAGUAAGAUAAUUUCUUGUGUGUAGAGCAUUUUUUAGGAGUCUAGGUUAAAGUUCAAAGUCUUUUGAGUGAUCGGUAGUCGCUAAAAAUUGUGAAUUGAGAUUGUAUGUCCCUUAAUUUUCUGUUUGUUCCUUCUAUUCUGAGCGUUCGAAGGAAAGGACACGCAAAAGUAUACGAUAUGUAACAUACUACAUUCAAGAGUUCGUGCUUGUUCAUUUUUAUAGCACUUGAGAUCGGUACAUAAACCAAGUAACCAAAGUACCUAGUAACCAAAUUACCAAGUAUUACAAAUACGUGAUCUGCUCGUGCUAUUUUCAAAAAUUCUUAAACGGAAGAUGGUUAUAAUAUUGCAACUGAGAGAAAAUAUUUGAAUGGUUCGUUCUAGGCCAUGAGAAUAAGUAAAAAUGUUUUUAAACCAUGCACAAUAAGCCAUUAAACAUGCUUGGUCCCAAAUUUAUUUUAGAAUAAAUCUCGACUCUUCGAAUCUGCCAAUAAAUAGUUUUAAUAAACAUUUGCAACACUCGAGUCAUUUCUAAGUUGUCUGUUGAGUUAUUUUGUAAACAUAUAAUUUAACGAUAUGUCAAAAUUUGCGAAAAGAACCUUUUCCUCUAUUCUGAGAAAAAAAUCAGGGGAAAGUGGAGCAAAUACUUUUUGCAGCUGGAAAAAAGUCUCCAAAACCACUAUUUUUAUAACUUCAUGCGGCGAGACAACCUGCCAGAUGUGUAACAGAAUAUUUUUAAGGAUGCUUUCAGUGUGACUCAAUAGACUCAUUACAUUGCAGCCCAAUCAGCAGUCGCGAUGAUCAUAUUUUCAUUUUAUAGGUGCUCCUUUUAAGUACGUUUUUAGAGAGUCUUCUCUGAAAACUGAACAUUUUUACUUGUACGUAAACUUUUGACUAAAUUGCGAGCGCGUCUACGUACCGAAACUCUAUUUUUGAAAGAUUUAUCGAUAUAUUUUAAAAGAUAUUUGUCCAGCCUCCCACCGAGAUUCUGUCUGAAUACUGCGGUAUUGUCGCCCUCCUGACUUAAAGACGUAAGUACACUUCGGGACGAGCCCUUUCGUACUUAUAUCUCAAUGCUUUCCUGGGCUCUUAUCGAAGUGUACUUACGUCCUUUUGUCACCUAAGCGACGAUUUGAAUACCUAUUUACUUACUGCGAGGCUCGACUGCGACCUCAUACCUGCCUUUGGCUUAUCUCCAUUUUAAGAACUUUAUUAAUUUGAGUCCACUUAUUUGAUUCUUCAAAAUUUCAUUCCUCCUAGCCAUCUCGCUAAUUCCCUAAGUAAUUUUUUCCCCCAUUAAAGUUGGAAGAGAUUUUCUCCAUUGCUUUGUCAAUUAAAUUUACUGUCGUGUCAGAUAUCUCCCUAGAACUAUUUUAGAUGAAUGUCUCGUUCUAUGUCCUUCCCCAGAUUGAUUGUUUAUCAUUAUUAUUAUUAUUAUUUUUUUGGCAAUUACCGACCAUUUAAAUUGAGGCUAUAAUUAAUUAAGUAUCUCGCAUUUGCUCUCAAAGUUUUUGAUUAUUUUCUUAUUGUUCGCCCCAUACUUCUUGGUUAUUUCGUCUCUCUUCCAUGAAUUUUUAUUAUUGACUUUUUCGUUACUAUUUUAAGUGUCACUUAAAUUUCUCUCUCAUUCAUUUUUUUUUAUUUUUUACUUUUUGAUACUUUUGAAUGUUUACAAUCUUUCAUUAUUAUUGGUGAUUUACUUCGGGCCGGAUUAGCUUGUGCGUAUCAUUUUUUGAUAUCAGUUGAUCUGCGUUCGAUUUUUUUUUAUUUUUUCCCUCAUCAUUUCCUUUCUCUCAAACAACAACAGAGAGCGACUUUUAGGAUCUUUUUUAGUUUUUGAUUGUUAUGUAUUACAUUCUCGUAACUCCAACCUCAGUGCUUAAGGGUUUGUGCAAAAGUUACAAAGUUUUUAAUAUCGUUGUCAGUUUUCAAAUUUCUGUGUCAAAGUCACCCUCUGUUUUUCUUAAUUUUAUCAAUUUGUGAGAAAACGUUAUUCAAUAAAUUACCAAAUGACAGUUCCA